UACUUUAUUCAAGUCGAGCGAAACGUCGUGGUGACUUAAAAGAUAAUAAGUUACUUAAUUUUAAAGAAUUUAAUGAAUAAACGAGCAUUAAAAGGGGUUGAAAAGGGUUUUAAGGGAGUCACCACCUAAGUUUUUGAAAAGCUAAGAAACCAAUUAAUUAAUCUUAAAAGGAAGUCUACAAGAUCAAUUGAUCUAGGUAAGGGGUUCAAGUUAUUCGAAGGGAAGAGAUUCGACAUCCUUAGAAUCCACAAAUGUUCAUCCCGUAUGAAUUAAUUUUUUUCAAAUUGAUGAAUAAAAUAAAAUAAUGUACGAGUAUAAUAAACAUGUAACAUACAAAAGUAAUAAAUAAGAUAUUAUAAAAAAACAACCUAGAGCUAUCUAAUGUCAAUAUAUACAAGAUAAUGAAUAAAGAGUAUAAUUCAAACGUAAUUCUAAUAGCUUCAAUUGGAAGCAAAUCUGUGUACCUGUAAAGACACGUAGAACUAGUGUUACUUAUAAAUAAAUAUGAGUAAAAAUAAAUGAAUCAAAUGAUAACUUAAAAAUAAAAAAACUCGUCUUAUUAACAUGGGAGACCUUGAAAAUUGACGAUAAUUUCUUCAUCGACCAGUUUAACAAAUAAAAGUAUAUGAACUUAAAUUAAAUCCUUCUUUUAAAAUGGGGAGGCCUCCAAAUCGACCGAGAGAGUUUUCCAUUGUCAAAUCUUACGUUACAAUGUAUGAAGAGAAACGAUUUAAUAAAACACAAGAUAUCUAAUAUUAAUCCCGAACAAAAUGAGUAAACAUAAUAAUGAUAAUAAUAAUAAUAAAAUAAAAUACACAAUACAUAACAAUAAUAACACUAAAAGCAAACAACUAACAGGACAUUAAAUAAAAAAUAAUAAUAGAAUAACAACCAACUUGACAAGUAAACAGUGAAUUAAAAAAACAAGUAAAAUUAAUUAACAACAAAAUAAUAAUAACGUAAUAAUUAAAUAAUGUUAAUGUAGUAACAAUGAUUUCUGUAACUUCCUUCAACAUGAAUGUAACCAAUUUAAUAAAUUAAAAAUAAUCACAUAUGUACAAAAUUAGAAAGAUAAAGAAUAAAAAAAAAUAAAAAAUUCAUAGUCAUGAACAAAUGGGAAAAUAAAUAAAAAUAAAUAAGAUAACCACAUGAAAUGAACGGAUCCAUACAGAGAAAAGCAAACGGAAGGCUUACAUUGGUUUUGUGUUGGCUGGAGUUUCUGGUGUUGCUUCGAGUUGUCCAUCGGAACUUGGCGGUGCGAGAUCUGGUCAAUUUCCACCUGUUGGCACCGGUUCUUUGAGAGGUUUUGAUUCGCGAGCUCGGAACUCGUUGGUGUUUGUUCGCUGGAGAAGGAGGAGAAAUGGAAGGGUGAAGGCUGGUUCGGGUUUGUUCCAAUUUCACCGGAAGGUGAAGAAAAUUGGGGGUGAUAGGAAAGGAGAAGGAGCAUUGAUGGCCUAAGGGUGGUUUUGGCUGGAAAACAGAGAAGGAAAAGGGUUUAAAGGGUGGGUUAAAGAUGAAAAUGGCGAAAUGGGUCUGGUAAGGUGGGGUUUGGCAGUGAGGUUAGGAGUAGCUGUUGUUUGCUAUUGAAGAAGAAGAAGAAGAGCAACUAAGUUAUUUCCGGUGGUUUGAGAUCGGGGUUUUGAGUCUGACGGUGUUUAGCAUGGUGGUCUCAUCGGAAAUGGAGAAGGGGGUUGAACAAUGGUGAAAGGUUGGUAAUACCAGAGUUUUUGGUCCUUUCCGGGUGGGUUUUGAAUCAAAGUUUAGCCUGAAAAAUGGAGAAAGGAGGUGGCUGGCCCAAAAAAAAAGGAGAAGGAGGAAAAAUGGGGGGUUUUGGGGUGGUGGACUUGCUUGUUUUUGGUGAAACUCCAGUGAUUUAUCACCAGGAAAAUAAUGAACAAUAAGAUAUUUCUUGACACGAAAAAUUUGGAAGUAUCGCCAUAAUUUUAUUCAUCAUCCUCUAAAUUUACU
rnacentral:lncRNA from 1 species